rnacentral:rRNA from 1 species
UGGGGAAUAUUGGACAAUGGGCGAAAGCCUGAUCCAGCCAUGCUGCGUGUGUGAAGAAGUUCUUCUGAUUGUAAAGCACUUUAAGUUGGGAGGAAGGGCAGUAAGCGAAUACCUUGCUGUUUUGACGUUACCGACAGAAUAAGCAUCGGCUAACUCUGUGCCAGCAGCCGCGGUAAUACAGAGGGUGCAAGCGUUAAUCGGAAUGACUGGGCGUAAAGCGCGCGUAGGUGGUUCGUUAAGUUGAAUGUGAAAGCCCCGGGCUCAACCUGGGAGCUGCAUCCAAAACUGGCGAGCUAGAGUAGGGCAGAGGGUGGUGGAAUUUCCUGUGUAGCGGUGGAAUGCGUAGAUAUAGGAAGGAACACCAGUGGCGAAGGCGACCACCUGAGAUCAUACUGACACUGAGGUGCGAAAGCGUGGGGAGCAAACAGG